GGCUGGGUGGGUCCAGGGCCCUAGCGGGGCGGGGUGGAGGGACCCGCUUGCCUGGCGAGCAGUUCGGUGAGAGAUGGUUAGCCAGACUGAGACCCGGAGCAGCCAGGUGACCCUGCGUCCCAAAAUAGCGCGGUCGGCGCUAUCGCUUCUAAAUAAAGAAGUCGUCUGAGCAUUAGGAUUGACUCUUAAUACCCCACCCAGCCCAGAUGAAGUGACAGAAUAUGCAGAUGCUGACACCAAGAGACCUGGAGCCCAUUUUCCUUUCCACCGGAAAGACAAAGAGCUGAAGGUGGCUGGAAGUGAUAAAACAAGUAAGAUGCAGAAACGACUCCAGACAUCCUCAGCUACCUCAUCUUUGACAAAGG